UACAGAGGGUGCGAGCGUUAAUCGGAAUUACUGGGCGUAAAGGGUGCGUAGGUGGUUGCGUAAGUCAGAUGUGAAAGCCCUGGGCUUAACCUAGGAACUGCAUUUGAAACUGUGUAGCUAGAGAGUGGUAGAGGGAAGUGGAAUUUCCGGUGUAGCGGUGAAAUGCGUAGAUAUCGGAAGGAACACCAGUGGCGAAGGCGACUUCCUGGACCAUCACUGACACUGAGGCACGAAAGCGUGGGGAGCAAACAGG
rnacentral:rRNA from 1 species